CGCCUUGCUCUCCGGCCGUGCUGAGGCGCGUAAUCAGCCGGGAGGCCGGAGAGGCGGCCGCGCUUGCUGAGGCGAGGCGAUGGCCGCGGCGGCGUUGGCGUUCUCGCGGUGGUUUCCACGCCGAUGGAGCUGAGCCGGCAGCUCCGGGGCGAGCGAGCGACCGAGCGAACAAGGCCGGCUGAAACGGGCGGACGGACGGAGCGGCGUUAAUUUCCACCCCUUCCCCGAGCGCGGAGCCCCUGCGACGAGCCGCCGCCAGCGCGGUGGCUGCUGCUCCUGAGCUAAGCGCAAAAUGACCAGAACUCAAUCACCCCGACGGCCUGUGGUUUGCUUCACCAGCCUGCCCUGUGAACAGCACUGUCGCUUUAAUAAUUCCAUGUCCAGGGAUUGCUUUCAAUCCUCUUGGGUGUAAUACAAGAGGAUCAGAGGGAUGUUACAGACCAGAAGGCUGGGCGGAGUGUUUACAAAUGAAAGUGACCGGCUGUGCGGGUAACCAACUGAAACUUCGGAGCUUGGUUUCCAGCAUUCAGAAGACCAGGAUGUCUUGUCUAAUGGCCUAAAAUCCUUGUGACCGCAUCAGGAAGAAAGAACGGGGAAAAAAAAAUCUCUUGGGAUUGCCUCCAGCUUCCUUAGAAUUUCAUUCGGAUUAUUGAAGAAGGGGUCGGGCGGUUUUGGACUGUGGAAUCCUGAGACUGCCAAGUUUUUGGACUGUGCCUUAAUUGCAUUUUUUGUGGGGUGGGGGGACAUUCACUCAACUUCUGAAUACAAUAUACAAACGACCCUUCGUGGUUGGAAGAGGGAUUCUGAGACGCUUUUGUAAACGGAUGUGUGUUUUCUCCGAUAUAUUUUUAUAGCUUGGGAAAUACUUUGCAGAUUUUGACAACUUCUCGUGGCAGACGUUCUCUUGAAAACUCCCCUCCCUGCCUUGCUCUUAUCCUGGUGAUGUUGGAAGUUUUUAACUUGAGGAAUUACAAGCCUGCUUGGGGGAAAAUGAAGAAAUAAAGAGUCCUCUUUUUAAGCUUCUUUAACCAUUUUGAGUGGGACGGCAGACUUCUGACUUCCCAAGAUAAUCCCGGAAGGACUCUACAGCAAAUAAAAUAUUUUCAUCCAGUGCCAGAAGUAACAGCAAGAAUGCCAGUGAAGAAGAAAGACACUGAUCGAGCUUUAGCACUUCUGGAAGAUUAUUGUAAGAAGUUAAAAAAGCCAGAGGAGCAACAACUGAAAAAAGCCAUUAAGAAAGUGAUGGGCAUCUUCAGAAGCAGUUUGUUCCAGGCCUUGCUAGUUCCUGCAGAGGGAGAAACAAGCCCGCUUGAAAUUCUCCGAGCAACGUUUUCUGCAUAGAAUCUCUACAGGCCUAAGGAUGUUGGCUCUUCUGGUCUGGUUACACCAGCACGGAUGUCCUUCCAUCUUCUCAGCCAGAUAUCCGUUUCAUGAAAAUGAGAAGCAGAAGAAUGGAGUGCAAAUUAGUUGGGUCACUCAGAUCUUAGGAUAGCAAAGGGAAAAAAAGCUGUCAUCUUGGCAACUGUGACUUGAGGAUCAACGUUAAGAGGUUUGUUUCCACAAUAUAUCUUGCAAUAGCGACCAGAGAUGAAUACACCAGUGGACAAUAUAACCAAACCAACGAACCCACCCAACCAAGUGAUCAACUAGUCAACCCAACCAACCAGCCUAGCCAAUCAAUCAAUCAACCAGCUAACCAAUCAAUCAACCAACACAACCAAUCAACCACAGAAGGAAGAAAAGUUCAGUCUGUUCCAUACAUUUAGAGAUGCCAUAUUUUUCGGAGUAUAAGAUGCACCUUUUUCCCUCAAAAAAGAGGCUGAAAAUCUGG